GACGAACCGUGCGAACGUUAUUCGGAAUCAUUGGGCUUAAAGGGCGCGUAGGCGGCGAUGUAAGUUUGUGGUGAAAUCCUAUCGGCUCAACCGUGGGAUCGCUUCGAAUACUGCAUCGCUCGAGGGAGAUAGGGGCUUGCGGAACUGACGGUGGAGCGGUGAAAUGUGUUGAUAUCGUCGGGAACGCCAGUGCCGAAAGGGGCAAGCUAGACCUCUUCUGACGCUGAGGCGCGAAAGCUAGGGUAGCGAACGGG
rnacentral:rRNA from 1 species